rnacentral:lncRNA from 10 species
GAGCAGGCUGCAAAGUAGAAGUGCUUAUAUAAGCUCCUCGGUGCAGCUCCUUGUCCAGUCCCUGCUGUUGGCCCAGGGAUGGUCAGCUGGCCAAAGGCCAGCCUGCUCCUUGGCUGUAAGGCAAGCCCUGGGAAGCUGGUGACCCCAGGCUCAGGGCUAGGAGUUGGGCUGUGCCCCUCAGACCGGCUCUGACUCUCCUGGCCCCCAUUCUUCCACCACCUGUCUCCACAGCCUGGAGUGGGGCUUACUUCUAAAUGAACAAUAAGAAUUACAUCAAACUUCCCAUCAGAAACCAGGCAAGCAACAAGAGAAUGGAGUGAAAUAUUUUAAAAAGUGUUAAAACUUCCAUCAACCUAGAAUCUGUAUCCAGGGGAAUUUUUCUUCAAAGGUGGAGAGGAUAUGAAGACAAAGAAAAACUGAGAGAAGAUUUUGCCCUUACACCUGCCUUGCAUGAAAUGUUAAAAGAAGCCCUUCAAUGAAAAGGAAAAUGAAAUCUUGGCUCUACAUAAAGGAAGAACAAUGAAGAUGGACUAAAUGGAAGUAAAGGAAAAUAUUUUACCUUUAUUAUUCUUAAUUGGCCUUAUAGAUAACUGUUUGUUUAAAAUAGUUAAGAACAAGAAUGUCUCAAGUGAUUAUGGCUUAUUGUUAAGUUCAUGAAUGCUAGCAAUGUCUAAGAAAUGGGAGGAAGGAAUGAGGAAUGCUCUGUUACAGGGUAUCUGCACUUGCUGUUGUUUUAAGAGAUGUUCGCUUUCCUUCUACCAAGCAGAAGGCAGAGGAAUUCAUGGUGGCAAUGAUGGGGCUGGCAAAGAGAGCUCCAGGGCUGGAUUUUCCCAACAAUUUUAUUACCCAGGAGUCAGGAGAGUGUCUGUGAGAUAAACCCAGCUCUGACCCCUUCCCUCACCCCUCCAUUUAUCCAAAGGUCCUGCUAGACCUCGGGCCAGAGGCUGGGGGCCAGGACCUUCCCACUCCAGGGACACAAAUUCUUCUUUUAGGUAGCCCCAGCUUGUUGGUCUCAGCAAUCAACAGUUGACUUAAUAAGCCCAUUUCAUUAACAGAUGCACAUUGCAUCUAUUAAUGAAUCACUUCACCCAUGGAAUGGCAGGCUCCAGAGGGGCUAUGAAAUGGUGGUGCCUCAGGCAAUCACCUGCCGUCAUGUCACCCUUGAAAGGUUGAAUGUUUUGUCCAUCUGGUGGAGGUGAGAAUUGAACUUAAAGCCUAGUGAAGCUAUGUAUUUACCUUGCCCCUCUUUGCAGGGACAGAGUCAAUCUCUGGUUCCCCCUAUAUUUCUCAGGAUGGGAGGAAAUGGGGAUCCUUCUUCCUAUAUCAUGGAAGGGAGAAUGAGGACCUCACAAAGGAAAGAAACUCACUACAUCUGUCAGAAGUAAGGCCUGCCUGAAAUCAGUGAGGCUCAUCGCAGCCCAAAAUUCAGGCAGUGAGAAAUUCACCAAAGUGGCCUUUCUGAGGAGAAUUAGAGAAAUGUUUGAGGCUCAUAGAUAGGCACCUAGAAACGCCAUGAAGAAAGUCACAAAUAAUGCCUCAAAUGAUGUGCUCAAAUCACGCUAGAGUGAAAAAAUUGGAAACACCACCUUUACCAUGAAUUUCUCUUUUUUUUUUUUUUUCGAGACGGAGUCUUGCUCUGUCACCCAGGCUGGAGUGCAGCAGCACAAUCAUGGCUCACAGCAAGCUCCACCUCCCGGGUUCAUGCCAUUCUCCUGCAUCAGCCUCCCGAGCAGCUGGGACUACAGGUGACCACCACCACGCCUGGUUAAUUUUUUUGUAUUUUCAGUAGAGACGGGGUUUCACCAUGUUAGCCAGGAUGGUCUUGAUCUCCUGACCUCGUGAUCUGCCUGCCUUGGCCUCCCAAAGUGCUGGGAUUAUAGGCGUGAGCCACCACGGCCAGCCUUUACCACGAAUUUCUAAUAGCUCCCUAGGCCAAGGUGUUUUUUCUCUCCUCUGUCUCCUCUCUCGUAGCAAAUUCCUACCGCACACAAACAGGGAAGAAGAGCCCUUGUCACUUGUCCAGAACAGUGUGGGAGCUGUUGGGUGCUGGCUGUGGGAAGGUACACACCUUGACAGGUUUCUGGCCUGGAGAACGAGGGGAGAAAGUUCCCUCCAGGGUGCCCCUCAGUUUGGGCCCUUAAGGUAAUCAGAGCCAGCGGAUGUUGAGAGUUUGAGAGGUUCAGUAAGGUUCCUAGAGCCACAGGACAGGAGGGAGCUGUUGGUGGUUGGGGAGACAGUUGGAGAAAGUUCCAGGGGAGUUCCAGGGAGGAGCCGAUAUGUAGGGCAGGAGAGAAUAGGAAAAAAAAGAAUGGGUGGGUUUGCCAGCAUUCCUCCUUCCAAGGAUUCUAAGGAAAAGAGUGGAAACUGCGGAGACAAUUCUCUUACCGUUUCUCCUUUCAAGAUGCACAGAGAGUCAGGCAGAAGGGACACUAGAGUGCAGGAAAAGAAGGCCGCAGAGACAGGUGCAGAAGGUUGGAGGGAGGAACCACUGAGACCAGCGUCCGUGGAAAGAUGUCCAACGUUUGACCACGGAGAGCAACAGGCCCUCAGCCACAGACAGGAGAGAUCGGGAUUGACAACUAUCUUCAGAGCUCCCAGUCUGCGGGCAUUGAUUGACUGAUUAAGGCGGAGUUUCACUCCUGUUGUCCAGGCUGGAGUGCAAUGGCUCGAUCUGGGCUCACUGCAAGCUGUGCCUCCCGGGUUCAAGCGAUUCUCAUGCCUCAGCCUCCUGAGAAGCUGGUAUUACAGGCACCCACCACCAUGCCCAGCUAAUUUUUUUUGUAGUUUUAGUAGAGGCGGGGUUUCACCACAUUGGCCAGUCUGGUCUCAAACCCCUGACCUCAGGUGAUCCACUGGCCCUGGCCUCCCAAAGUGCUGUGAUUAUAGGUGUGAGCCACCCACCGCACCUGGCCAUCACGGGGAUUUAGAAUCAUCCCCUUCCCCAACAAGUGUGGCCUGGAGCCUGCAGAAUAAUGGAGACCACCACCACCUGGCUCAGACCCAGGUCUUCCAGGCUGGCUCACACUUGGGUAAGGUUCUGCCAAUCAGGUAACUAAGCCCAGGGCAAGUACGUGGUUUUCAGGUCCUGGGUUUCCUGCUGUGUUUUAAAUGACCACACCUGGAACCAUCUCCUUACUUUCUUUCUAGAGAAUUCCUCCCAGGAAAAUCAACAAAUCAAUGAGAAGUCAAACACUUACCCAGUAGUUUUGCACAGUAGAGCACCUGAGGAAUUCGUGAAAAACACCAAUGCCUGGCCCCACCCCAGGUGAAUUAGACCAGAAUUUCGGAGGGUGAAGCCUAGACAUGGAGGGUUUCAAAUGCUUCCCAGGUGACUCGCAUAUGCAGCCAGGCUGGGGAGUCCUUGUAUUCAAUCUAGAUAAAUAGCAGGCAUGCGGCAGGUGCUGAAGGUGCAAAGAUGAACAAGGUGAGGAUCCCGCUCUUGAUAAACUCACAGCUUAGAAGGGAGAUGAGCAUCCAAACAAACAAACAGCCAGGUGUGGUGGCUCAAACCUGUAAUCCCAACAUAAUGGGAGGCUGAGGCAGGAGGAUUGCUUGAAUCAAGGAGUUCAAGACCAGCCUGGGCAACAUAGUGAGAACCCCCACCACCCCACCCCCCACCACCCCCACCAUCUCUACAAAAAGAAAGAAAGAAAGAAAGAAAAAAAUUAGCCAUGUGUGGUAGUGCACACCUUGAGGCUGAGGAGGGAGGAAUGCUUGAGCCUGGGAGGUAGAGGCUACAGUGAGCCAUGUUUGUGCCACUGCACUUCAGCCUAGAGUGAGACUCUGUCUAAAGAAAACAAAACAAAACAAAAAAACACAGAAAACAAAAUCACCAACUGUGGGCCGGGUGUAGUGGCUCAUGCCUGUAAUCCUAACACUUUGGGAGUCCAUGGUGGGCGGAUCACUUGAGGUCAGGAGUUUGAAACCAGCCUGGCCAACAUGGUGAAACCCCGUCUCUGCUAAAACUUCAAAAAAAGUAGCCAGGUGUGGUGGCACACACCUAUAAUCCCAGCUACUUGGGAGGCUGAGGCAGGGGAAUUGCUUGAACCUGGGAGGUGGAGGUUGCAGUGAGCCAAGAUCACACCACUGCACUCCAGCCUAGGCAACAGAGUGAGACUCCAUCUCAAAAAAAAAACAAAAUCACCAACUGUGUGCUGAGUUCAGUCAUAGAAGCACUCCCAGAUUAAAGAGGAGGGUGCGUUAAUCAUGUUUUUUAAAAAAAUUUUUUUAGAGGAUAGGGUCUUACUCUGUUGCCCAGGCUGGAGUGCAGUGGUGCAAUCAUAGCUCACUUCAGCCUUGACCUCCUGGACUCCAGGGAUCUUCCCACACAGCUAGGACUACAGUCCGCACACCACCUUGUCCAGCUAAUUUUUAAAAUUUUUGUAGAGAUGGGAGUCUCACUAUGUUACCCAGGCUGGUCUGGAACUCCUGGGCUGAAGCAAUCCUCCUGCCUUGGCCUCCCAAAGCACUGGGAUUAGAGGUGUGAGCCCUUGUGCCCAGCCAGUCAUGUUUUUUUAAAUUUUGUUUUGUUUUGUUUGAGACGGAGUUUCACUCUUGUUGCCCAGGCUGGAGUGCAAUGGCACGAUCUCGGCUCACCGCAACCUCUGCCUCCCGGGUUCAAGUGAUUCUCCUGCCUCAACCUCCCAAGUAGCUGGGAUUUCAGGCAUGUGCCACCACCCCGGCUAAUUUUGUAUUUUUAGUAGAGACGGGGUUUCUCUAUGUUGGUCAGGCUGAUCUUGAACUCCCGACCUCAGGUGAUCCCCCCCGCCUCGGCCUCCCUAAGUGCUGGGAUUACAGGCAUGAGCCACUGUGCCUGCCUAUGUUUUUAAUUUUCUGUAUUUUAUGAUGGUUUGACAUCUUGAGGGCCCUGCUGGCCUGGAAGAGACUGUCCCUCCCAGGGCUAGCUAAUUCCUAAGAUAGUAAAUAACUUGCCUGUGAACUUGCCUUUCAUGUGCACAUCAGCCAAUUCAUUCCCCAACCCCCAACCACCUCCUUUAUCUACUGUCACACCGAGCCAGUAUUACCCCUGCCCUAAAUCACCCCAGACCAACAUCAUACAAACCAGCCAAUCCUCAACCAGCUCAGCCACCCAACCUGCCCCUUCCUUCUUUCCUUCCCAUAGGAAACACAAUCAGGGCUCUACUUUGUCCCGGCUCCUCCUGCCUCCUGACCUACCAGCUGCUUCCCCAUGUGGCCCUGCAUGAUAUGGUAUGCCCCUUCUCUUGGAGACUAUAGAUAAUAAAUACUUUCAGUGACA